GAUGAACGCUAGCGGCAGGCUUAAUACAUGCAAGUCGAGGGGCAUCAAGGUACACGAAAGUGUAUUGUUGGCGACCGGCGGACGGGUGAGUAAUAGGUAGGUAACCUACCUCAUACUGAGGCAUAGCUGGGAGAAAUUCCAGGUAAUUCCUCAUGAGGUUAUAUGACACAUGUGAUAUAAUCAAAGGUAUCGCAAGGUACUGGUAUGAGAUGGGCUUACUGACCAUUAGCUAGUUGGUGAGAUAAGAGCUCACCAAGGCGAAGAUGGUUAGGGGUUUUGAGAGAGAGAUCCCCCACAUUGGAACUGAGAUACGGUCCAGACUCCUACGGGAGGCAGCAGUAGGGAAUAUUGGGCAAUGGGCGGAAGCCUGACCCAGCCAUGCCGCGUGAAGGAAGACGGCCUUAUGGGUUGUAAACUUCUUUACUAUGCGACUAACUAGAUUUACGAGAUAAUUCUAUAGAAUGUAGCAUAGACAAAAAGCAACC
rnacentral:rRNA from 1 species